AAGAAGAAGAAUCCUAAUAAAACACGGGAGAGAUCGUGGUUCAGUCAGUCCAACUUUCAAGACGGAAUAGAUAGAAGAUGGAACGUCCUCUUAAUGCAGAACACAAAGGUCGGACAAUGCAGGCUAAAUCCAAGAUUGUAUGGACAGAACAAGGAAGAUGACUGCAUAGUUGACUGGUGGAAAUGUAAACUAGCUCCACAAACCUGGACUUCAGCCAGUUGGUCCAAUGGAAAACACUGUUGAGGCAAGU